rnacentral:rRNA from 1 species
AUGGAUGUGGUGAAGGCGGCGCAGCUGUCGGGGCGGACGCUGGAGAUGGUGGUGUACAAUCGCGUCGCCCGCGACACCAGGAAGCGCGUCGUCGGCGUGCUCCUCGGCACCUCCUCCCGCGGCAUCAUCGACGUCACCAACUCCUACACCGUGCCGUUUCAGGAGGAUGACAAGGACCCAAGGAUCUGGUUCCUCGACCAUAAUUACCAUGAGUCUAUGUUCUCCAUGUUCAAGAGGAUCAACGCCAAGGAGCAUGUCGUUGGCUGGUACAGCACUGGUCCAAAACUGAAGGAGAACGACUUGGAUGUUCAUGCAUUGUUUACCAACAAUAUGACGAUCACCGCCCACAACUCUUUGUGUUCUACUCGUGCAUAUCAUCUACGCAUAGACCUGGCUCGGAUGCCAAUGGGAACAUGGGGUCUCGCUAAAAGUCUUGCUCAAAUGAUCUACUUCAGGAUCUCAUCUUCUGUGCCUUGGUUCUGUCAGACGAGCGAUGUGUCCAAAACAUUAAAUUCACGGUUUCCACCGGACGUCCGACUUCUCCUCAUCAGUACAAAAACAUCGGAUGGCCGCAUAAUUCAGGUAAUGUUAGUCCGGCGGAUGUUGCCGUGCAAACGUCGGCCUCUCUGGAUGUGGGAGUUUAAUCCGGAGGGUCCGCAGACUAUUAAGAACUUCUUCGACCUGACGCUCGAAGGUAUGUGCAAGUUACUCUUCGGAUCACAUAUUUCAUCCGCCACCAGCGGUUUGAAUGAGGCAUUUACAAGCCUGCUCAAAGGCUUUGAGGAGUCACAGGGUAUGUGCUUGGUUUUCCUUAUUAUUAUGUAUAGGAAAAUGCAAAAGGGGCAUAAUAUUAAUGCCAUGCGGCAAACCCAGGAGCCGGGCAAACCCAACAUUUGA